rnacentral:rRNA from 1 species
GAUGAACGCUGGCGGCGUGCCUAAUACAUGCAAGUCGAGCGAACGGACGAGAAGCUUGCUUCUCUGAUGUUAGCGGCGGACGGGUGAGUAACACGUGGAUAACCUACCUAUAAGACUGGGAUAACUUCGGGAAACCGUAGCUAAUACCGGAUAAUAUUUUGAACCGCAUGGUUCAAAAGUGAAAGACGGUCUUGCUGUCACUUAUAGAUGGGUCCGCGCUGCAUUAGCUAGUUGGUAAGGUAACGGCUUACCAAGGCAACGAUGCAUAGCCGACCUGAGAGGGUGAUCGGCCACACUGGAACUGAGACACGGUCCAGACUCCUACGGGAGGCAGCAGUAGGGAAUCUUCCGCAAUGGGCGAAAGCCUGACGGAGCAACGCCGCGUGAGUGAUGAAGGUCUUCGGAUCGCAAAACUCUGUUAUUAGGGAAGAACAUAUGUGUAAGUAACUGUGCACAUCUUGACGGUACCUAAUCAGAAAGCCACGGCUAACUACGUG